GGUUAAGCGAAUAAGCGUACACGGUGGAUGCCUAGGCAAUCAGAGGCGAUGAAGGACGUGCUAAUCUGCGAAAAGCGUCGGUAAGGUGAUAUGAACCGUUAUACCCGACGAUAUCCGAAUGGGGAAACCCAGUAUCCAAUGGAUACUAUCAUUAACUGAAUCCAUAGGUUAAUGAGGCGAACCGGGAGAACUGAAACAUCUCAGUACCCCGAGGAAAAGAAAUCAACCGAGAUUCCCCUAGUAGCGGCGAGCGAACGGGGAGCAGCCCAGAGUCUUAAUCAAUAGCAGUGUCAGGAGAACGGUCUGGAAAGUCCGGCAGUAAAGGGUGAUAGCCCCGUAUCUGAAGAUGCUGUUAUUGUGAACUCGACGAGUAGGGCGGGACACGUGUUAUCCUGUCUGAAUAUGGGGGGACCAUCCUCCAAGGCUAAAUACUCCUGAUUGACCGAUAGUGAACCAGUACCGUGAGGGAAAGGCGAAAAGAACCCCGGCGAGGGGAGUGAAAAAGAACCUGAAACCGUGUACGUACAAGCAGUAGGAGCCCCAUCACUCAAGUGCCUCGCACUGAGUGAUGCAAGAACAUCACCGAAAAUAGCGCCGAAUUUGCUAACAAGGUUGGUCGAUUUUUUCAAGCCGUCGCGCAGUGUACCUAGAAGUACACGAGCAACGGAAGUUAAAAAAUCGGGCAAGAUUGAACGCAAAGGCAAGCGGGACAUUUGAGGAUGGGGUGACUGCGUACCUUUUGUAUAAUGGGUCAGCGACUUAUAUUCUGUAGCAAGGUUAACCGUAUAGGGGAGCCGUAGGGAAACCGAGUCUUAACUGGGCGAAUGAGUUGCAGGGUAUAGACCCGAAACCCGGUGAUCUAUCCAUGGGCAGGUUGAAGGUUGGGUAACACUAACUGGAGGACCGAACCGACUAAUGUUGAAAAAUUAGCGGAUGACUUGUGGAUGGGGGUGAAAGGCCAAUCAAACCGGGAGAUAGCUGGUUCUCCCCGAAAGCUAUUUAGGUAGCGCCUCGUGAAUUCAUCUUCGGGGGUAGAGCACUGUUUCGACUAGGGGGUCAUCCCGACUUACCAACUCGAUGCAAACUGCGAAUACCGAAGAAUGUUAUCACGGGAGACACACGGCGGGUGCUAACGUCCGUCGUGAAGAGGGAAACAACCCAGACCGCCAGCUAAGGUCCCAAAGUCAUGGUUAAGUGGGAAACGAAGUGGGAAGGCUCAGACAGCCAGGAUGUUGGCUUAGAAGCAGCCAUCAUUUAAAGAAAGCGUAAUAGCUCACUGGUCGAGUCGGCCCGCGCGGAAGAUGUAACGGGGCUAAACCAUGCACCGAAGCUGCGGCAGCGACACAAAGUGUUGUUGGGUAGGGGAGCGUUCUGUAAGCCUGCGAAGGUGUACUGUGAGGUAUGCUGGAGGUAUCAGAAGUGCGAAUGCUGACAUAAGUAACGAUAAUGCGGGUGAAAAACCCGCACGCCGGAAGACCAAGGGUUCCUGUCCAACGUUAAUCGGGGCAGGGUGAGUCGACCCCUAAGGCGAGGCUGAAAAGCGUAGUCGAUGGGAAACGGGUUAAUAUUCCCGUACUGGUGGUAACUGCGAUGGGGGAACGGAGAAGGCUAGGUUGUCCGGGCGACGGUCGUCCCGGUUCAAGCAGGUAGGCAGAGUGAUUAGGCAAAUCCGGUCACUUAAUGCUGAGAUGUGAUGACGAACCACCAAGGUGGUGAAGCAAUUGAUGCCCCGCUUCCAGGAAAAGCCUCUAAGCUUCAGGUUACCAACAAUCGUACCCCAAACCGACACAGGUGGUCAGGUAGAGAAUACUCAGGCGCUUGAGAGAACUCGGGUGAAGGAACUAGGCAAAAUGGUGCCGUAACUUCGGGAGAAGGCACGCUGGCGGUAGGUAAAGUCCCUUGCGGACGGCGCUGAAGCCAGUCGAAGAUACCAGCUGGCUGCAACUGUUUAUUAAAAACACAGCACUGUGCAAACACGAAAGUGGACGUAUACGGUGUGACGCCUGCCCGGUGCUGGAAGGUUAAUUGAUGGGGUCAGCCGUAAGGCGAAGCUCCUGAUCGAAGCCCCA
rnacentral:rRNA from 1 species